GGGGAAUAUUGGACAAUGGGGGAAACCCUGAUCCAGCGACGCCGCGUGAGUGAAGAAGUGUUUCGGCAUGUAAAGCUCUAUCAGCAGGGAAGAAAAUGACGGUACCUGACUAAGAAGCCCCGGCUAACUACGUGCCAGCAGCCGCGGUAAUACGUAGGGGGCAAGCGUUAUCCGGAUUUACUGGGUGUAAAGGGAGCGUAGACGGUGAUGUAAGUCAGAUGUGAAAGCCCGGGGCUCAACCCCGGGACUGCAUUUGAAACUAUGUUGCUAGAGUGCAGGAGAGGUAAGUGGAAUUCCUAGUGUAGCGGUGAAAUGCGUAGAUAUUAGGAGGAACACCAGUGGCGAAGGCGGCUUACUGGACUGUAACUGACGUUGAGGCUCGAAAGCGUGGGGAGCAAAC
rnacentral:rRNA from 1 species